GGUAGGGAGGGUUCUGUCAGGUACUACUCCCUUCCUUAAUGAGCAGGAGGCACCUCUCUGGCUGGGAUUGGAUUUGCCAAUACUGACAGAACCAGGGCUGCUCACACAGCGCAUGGUCCAGGAGGAGAGGCACCCAGAGGGAUCACACGAGUGAGAUCGAGCUGGGAUUUGGUUCUUGUCCUUCACAAGCAGAAGGUGCUUUGGCAGCUUGCCCGAAUGCUGGAAGGAGAAGGCAGCUCCGAUGCUGCUGCAGCUUCCCCGGCUGCCAGGGGAAGUAAUAGAAUCACCCAGGUUGGAGAAGAUCACCUGUAAGAUCAUCGAGUCAGUGCCUCCACAGGUCACGUCUCCUGCUGUCACAUCCUGCUGCCAGGUCACCUCCUGUGCCUGCUCCCUGUCCCUGGAAGCCCGGCAGUCACCUCGCUCAGUGGAUGCAGUGGAUGCUCAGUGUCUGAUGAUUUUGCUGCAGGCAUACCAUCUGCGCGUAUCAAAGCUGAGCCACCUCUUAUCUCCUGGUGGUUCCUGCCUGCUCCCAGCCCGUGAAUCCUGGCUGCAGGGUGUUUGCACUGCUUCCCCAGCCCUGUGGGCUGUGGUGGACUUGGGGUGCCAGAUUCAGGGUGAGGGGCACGCCAGGGCAGGUCUCUGGGGUGCAGGUUGGAAGGGCCAGCACAGACAGCCCUGUCUGCCAGGAGGAUGCUGGUCAUUGCUGUAAGGUCAACCUUAAAUAAUGGGAAUAAUAAAAAUAAGGCUGCCUGCA
rnacentral:lncRNA from 1 species